rnacentral:rRNA from 1 species
GAUGAACGCUGGCGGCGUGCCUAAUACAUGCAAGUCGAGCGAACGGACGAGAAGCGGGCUUCUCUGAUGGUAACGGCGGACGUGUGAGUAACACGUGGAUAACCUACCUAUAAGACUGGGAUAACUUCGGGAAACCGGAGCUAAUACCGGAUAAUAUUUUGAACCGCAUGGUUCAAAAGUGAAAGGCGGUCUUGCUGUCACUUAUAGAUGGAUCCGCGCGGCAUUAGCUAGUUGGUAAGGUAACGGCUUACCAAGGCAACGGUUCAUAGCCGAACUGAGAGACUGAUAGCCCACACGGGAACUGAGACACGGUCACUACUCCUACGGGAGGCAGCAGUAGGGAAUGGUCCGCAAUGGGCGAAAGCAUGACGGAGCAACGCCGCGUGAGUGAUGAAGGUGUUCGGAUCGUAAAGAUCUGUUAUUAGUGAAGAACAUAUGUGUAAGUAACUGUGCACAUCUUGACGGUAGCUAAUAAGAAAGCCACGGCUAACUACGUG